rnacentral:tRNA from 1 species
GGAGGGAUCGCAUAGCCCGGUCUAGUGCGGCCGCCUGCUAAGCGGUUAUAGGGGUCUAAAGCCCCUAUCACGGGUUCAAAUCCCGUUCCCUCCGCCA